rnacentral:rRNA from 1 species
CCUUGAGGCGUGGCUUCCGGAGCUAACGCGUUAAGUCGACCGCCUGGGGAGUACGGCCGCAAGGUUAAAACUCAAAUGAAUUGACGGGGGCCCGCACAAGCGGUGGAGCAUGUGGUUUAAUUCGAUGCAACGCGAAGAACCUUACCUGGUCUUGACAUCCACAGAACUUUCCAGAGAUGGAUUGGUGCCUUCGGGAACUGUGAGACAGGUGCUGCAUGGCUGUCGUCAGCUCGUGUUGUGAAAUGUUGGGUUAAGUCCCGCAACGAGCGCAACCCUUAUCCUUUGUUGCCAGCGGUCCGGCCGGGAACUCAAAGGAGACUGCCAGUGAUAAACUGGAGGAAGGUGGGGAUGACGUCAAGUCAUCAUGGCCCUUACGACCAGGGCUACACACGUGCUACAAUGGCGCAUACAAAGAGAAGCGACCUCGCGAGAGCAAGCGGACCUCAUAAAGUGCGUCGUAGUCCGGAUUGGAGUCUGCAACUCGACUCCAUGAAGUCGGAAUCGCUAGUAAUCGUGGAUCAGAAUGCCACGGUGAAUACGUUCCCGGGCCUUGUACACACCGCCCGUCACACCAUGGGAGUGGGUUGCAAAAGAAGUAGGUAGCUUAACCUUCGGGAGGGCGCUUACCACUUUGUGAUUCAUGACUGGGGUGAAGUCGUAACAAGGUAACCGUAGGGGAACCUGCGGUUGGAUCACCUCCUUA